UACAGAGGUCCCAAGCGUUGUUCGGAUUCACUGGGCGUAAAGGGCGCGUAGGCGGCUUGCACCGUCAGAUGUGAAAUUCCUGGGCUUAACCUGGGGGCUGCAUUUGAUACGUGUGGGCUUGAGUGCGGAAGAGGGUCGUGGAAUUCCCAGUGUAGAGGUGAAAUUCGUAGAUAUUGAGAAGAACACCGGUGGCGAAGGCGGCGACCUGGUCCGUGACUGACGCUGAGGCGCGAAAGCGUGGGGAGCAAACAGG
rnacentral:rRNA from 1 species